rnacentral:tRNA from 1 species
GCCGAAGUGGUGGAAUUGGUAGACACGCCAUCUUGAGGGGGUGGUGACCUCUGGUCGUGCGAGUUCGAGUCUCGCCUUCGGCACCA